AUACGUAGGGGGCGAGCGUUGUCCGGAAUGAUUGGGCGUAAAGGGCGCGUAGGCGGCGCGGUAAGUCUGGAGUGAAAGUCCUGCUUUCAAGGUGGGAAUUGCUUUGGAUACUGCCGCGCUUGAGUGCAGGAGAGGUUAUCGGAAUUCCCGGUGUAGCGGUGAAAUGCGUAGAGAUCGGGAGGAACACCAGUGGCGAAGGCGGGUAACUGGACUGCAACUGACGCUGUGGCGCGAAAGUGUGGGGAGCAGACAGGAUUAGAUACCCUGGGAGUCCACACUGGAAACGAUGAAUGCUAGGUGGAAGAGGUAUCGCCCCCAUUUGUGCCGGAGUCAACACAAUAAGCAUUCCGCCUGGGGAGUACGGCAGUAAGGUUGAAGCUCAAAGGAAUUUUCGGGG
rnacentral:rRNA from 1 species